UCUCUUCUCUUCCAUAUACUUCCUCCUUCCACCUUUCUUCAUAUCUGUUCGGUAGCAGAUGAAAUUAAUUUGUUGCUAAUACGUAAUCAUAUGCUGAACUUAACAACUAGUCUAGAAUUUGUCUAAGUCAUACUUUAUUUUUCCUUCUCACCACUCUUUUUUUUUUGCACAACUGUAUCUCAAUAUUCUUAUGGGAGGGGAAUUAAGAAGGCAUUUGAUAAGAUGGGAUGAGGUGUUGCUAUGCAAAAAAUAUGGAGGUUUAUGUGUCAGAAACCUAAGAUUUCACAACAAAAGUUUAUUGCUCAAAUGGUUUUCGAGAUGCGAUAUUGGAGAGAGGAACACUGGAAGGAGGUUAUGAAAUGCAAAUAUGGGCUACAGGACUUCGGAUGCACCACUCUAGUUCUCAGCAGUUUACAAAAGCUGUGCGAUUGCAGAUUGCUGGGAUGGCAAAAGUUGGAAUCCCCAUUCUCCAGUUUAGAAGAAAUUUUCAUGACUCGGAAAUUGGAAGAGUUAGGAUUUUACUGGAGAACGCUGAAGGGAUUGUGCUGGACAGAUCAGUAAGGGAUUCUGUUUGUUGGAAGGGUUAAAGAUGGCAACUUUUCUGUAAAAUCUUGUUAUCAAUUGCUGACAAGGAAGUUGGCUAAAGACGACAUGGAAUGGCUUGGAUAAUAACAUGGAAAUCCGAGGCUCCAAGCAAAGAAUGUUUGGUUGGAUUCAUCAGGCGAAGCUUGUUUGACACAAGAUAAGUUGCAGAGCAGGGGCUUUAACCUAUGUAUCCAGUGUUAUAUUUGUAGGGGAAGAGGGAGUCGAUGAAUCAUCUUUUUUUGUUUGCAAGUAUGUUUGGAAAAUACGGGGCAUGAUUUUGAAUUUGUAUGGGAUGCACUGUUUUAUGCCAUCCAAUGUCAAGCAGACUUUAAGGAGUUGGAAAAGUUGGCCACUGAGAAAGAAGUAGAAGAAGAUUUGAGAAGCAUCUCUGUUUUAUGAUUCAUGUGGUUAAUACCUUGAAAGGAAUCAAAGUCUAUUGAGUGCAUGAAGGAGAACAUUCUAUUGUGAAAUAUAGAUUUAUUCAGAAUUUUAAAAUAUGGUGUAAUGCUUCUUUUGAUUGGCAUUGAUGUAAUGUUGGAAUUCUUAGGUUCCCUACAGAUUUAAGGAAUUUAAUUCCAGUGA